UACGAAGGGGGCUAGCGUUGCUCGGAAUCACUGGGCGUAAAGCGCACGUAGGCGGCUUUUUAAGUCAGAGGUGAAAUCCUGGAGCUCAACUCCAGAACCUGCCUUUGAUACUGAGAGGCUUGAGUCCGGGAGAGGUGAGUGGAACUGCGAGUGUAGAGGUGAAAUUCGUAGAUAUUCGCAAGAACACCAGUGGCGAAGGCGGCUCACUGGACCGGCAUUGACGCUGAGGUGCGAAAGCGUGGGGAGCAAACAGG
rnacentral:rRNA from 1 species